UAUUGUGGACCAACAUAAGAAGUUUAGUGUUGAGCUUUGGCUGUGUUCGCUGUCAGCCAUUUCUUCAGCCACAGAAGACCACCAGCAGCUAGUCUUGAGGGGUGUCUCAGUUAGACACAAGGAGUUCCCACCGUUGAGGACUGUGACGCA